rnacentral:rRNA from 1 species
CAAUAGCGUAUAUUAAAGUUGUUGCGGUUAAAAAGCUCGUAGUUGGAUUUCUGCUGAGGACGACCGGUCCGCCCUCUGGGUGAGCAUCUGGUUCGGCCUUGGCAUCUUCUUGGGGAACGUAGCUGCACUUGACUGUGUGGUGCGGUAUCCAGGACUUUUACUUUGAGGAAAUUAGAGUGUUUCAAGCAGGCGCACGCCUUGAAUACAUUAGCAUGGAAUAAUAAGAUAGGACCUCGGUUCUAUUUUGUUGGUUUCUAGAGCUGAGGUAAUGAUUAAUAGGGAUAGUUGGGGGCAUUCGUAUUUAACUGUCAGAGGUGAAAUUCUUGGAUUUGUUAAAGACGGGCUACUGCGAAAGCAUUUGCCAAGGAUGUUUUCAUUGA